rnacentral:misc_RNA from 1 species
UCCGGCUUAUCACCGGCAGUCCCUUUAGAGUGCCCAACUAAAUGAUGGCAACUAAGGACGAGGGUUGCGCUCGUUGCGGGACUUAACCCAACAUCUCACGACACGAGCUGACGACAGCCAUGCAGCACCUGUGUUCUAGCCAGCCUAACUGAAGGAAUCCAUCUCUGGAAACCAUACUAGACAUGUCAAACGCUGGUAAGGUUCUGCGCGUUGCUUCGAAUUAAACCACAUGCUCCGCUGCUUGUGCGGGCCCCCGUCAAUUCCUUUGAGGUUUAGCCUUGCGGCCGUACUCCCCAGGCGGGGCACUUAAUGCGUUAGCGUCGGCACGGGAGGAGUCGACACCUCCCACACCUAGCACCCAUCGUUUACGGCGUGGACUAC